AUUGAACGCUGGCGGCAGGCCUAACACAUGCAAGUCGAGCGGCAGCGGGGGAAAGCUUGCUUUCCCGCCGGCGAGCGGCGGACGGGUGAGUAAUGUCUGGGAAACUGCCUGAUGGAGGGGGAUAACUACUGGAAACGGUAGCUAAUACCACAUAACGUCUUCGGACCAAAGUGGGGGACCUUCGGGCCUCAUGCCAUCAGAUGUGCCCAGAUGGGAUUAGCUAGUAGGUGGGGUAACGGCUCACCUAGGCGACGAUCCCUAGCUGGUCUGAGAGGAUGACCAGCCACACUGGAACUGAGACGCGGUCCAGACUCCUACGGGAGGCAGCAGUGGGGAAUAUUGCACAAUGGGCGCAAGCCUGAUGCAGCCAUGCCGCGUGUAUGAAGAAGGCCCUCGGGUUGUAAAGUACUUUCAGCGGGGAGGAAGGUGUUGUGGUUAAUAACCGCAGCAAUUGACGUUACCCGCAGAAGAAGCACCGGCUAACUCCGUGCCAGCCGCCGCGGUAAUAC
rnacentral:rRNA from 1 species